rnacentral:rRNA from 1 species
UACGAAGGGGGCUAGCGUUGUUCGGAAUCACUGGGCGUAAAGGGCGCGUAGGCGGCUUUAUAAGUCGGGGGUGAAAGCCUGUGGCUCAACCACAGAAUUGCCUUCGAUACUGUAGAGCUUGAGACCGGAAGAGGUAAGUGGAACUGCGAGUGUAGAGGUGAAAUUCGUAGAUAUUCGCAAGAACACCAGUGGCGAAGGCGGCUUACUGGUCCGGUUCUGGACGCUGAGGCGCGAAAAGCGUGGGGGAGCAAACAGG